UACGUAGGGGGCAAGCGUUGUCCGGAAUCAUUGGGCGUAAAGAGCGUGUAGGCGGCUCGGUAAGUCCGCUCUGAAAGCCCGGGGCUCAACCCCGGGAGGCGGGCGGAUACUGUCGGGCUAGAGUCCGGAAGAGGCGAGUGGAAUUCCUGGUGUAGGCGGUGAAAUGCGCAGAUAUCAGGAGGAACACCAAUGGCGAAGGCAGCUCGCUGGGACGGUACUGACGCUGAGACGCGAAAGCGUGGGGAGCAAACAGG
rnacentral:rRNA from 1 species